rnacentral:rRNA from 1 species
CCUACGGGAGGCAGCAGUAGGGAAUUUUCCGCAAUGGGCGAAAGCCUGACGGAGCAAUACCGCGUGAGGGAUGACGGCCUGUGGGUUGUAAACCUCUUUUCUCAAGGAAGAAGUUCUGACGGUACUUGAGGAAUAAGCAUCGGCUAACUCUGUGCCAGCAGCCGCGGUAAUACAGAGGAUGCAAGCGUUAUCCGGAAUCACUGGGCAUAAAGCGUCUGUAGGUUGUUUAGUAAGUCUGCUGUUAAAGACUGGGGCUUAACCCCCGAGAAAAGCAGUGGAAACUGCUAGACUCGAGUGUGGUAGAGGUAGAGGGAAUUCCUAGUGUAGCGGUGAAAUGCGUAGAUAUUAGGAAGAACACCAAUGGCGAAGGCACUCUACUGGGCCAUAACUGACACUGAGAGACGACGGCUAGGGGAGCAAACGGGGAUUAGAUACCCCCGGUAGUCCUAGCCGUAAACGAUGGAUACUAGAUGUUGCACGUAUUAACCCGUGCAGUAUGUAGCUAGUACGUAGUAUCCGCCGUCGGAGUACGCGUCGCGAGAGNGAACGUACGAAAGGAAAGUUAGUACGGUUCGUUGAGAGUUGCCGACGGCGACGACGAGGGAGGAGG